GAAAGAGCUAAGAAAAGAGGAGAGGUUCAACAAAGCAUUUUCUCUUGAACAGGAUCGAGUUGCUCUUGAAUAGGAUCGAGCUGCAAAUGAAGAACUACUUCUUGAAGUGAGGAGCUAGGAGGUCCAGUUGCAAAAAGGAGGGAUGAAGAGAGGAUUAUGACCAUGGACCUUACUGCCAUGCUAGAUGAACAAAAGAAAUACUACAUGUCCUUGCGGGCUGAGAUCAUGAGACGACUAUCUAUGCCUAAUACUUAAUUACUAUCAUGUUUGUGUUCUGUUGAUUUUAGGAACUAUUCUGCAAUUUCAAACUUGUUUUAUUUUCUUUGUCUAUCUACCUGUCACUUUAAACCUAUCAAGAUCAAUAAUCCAUGCUUUGAGUUUCAUUCUCCUACUGUUUCGGUUCCUCUUCCUGUUGAUUUGCUUGAGCUAUAUGUCAAUUAGACAGGUGAGUUGUUUAAAGUGACAUCAUAUUUGUAUGGGGACUUGGACGUUAAGGUGCAGUCAGAUUUCCACUUUAGUGUUAUGAAAGGAUAGAAGAUGACAAUUUCUUGGGUAGAUUCUCAGAUCAGUCUUUACAAAAUUAAUCUGCAAAUCUAGGAUUCUGGGUGCCUUCUGCAUCACAUGGUGAUUUUGCUGGAUUUGUAAACUGCUGAGAUAAGUUGCUCACAUUUGUUGGUAAAUUGUAGUUAGUACUUAGCACAUUCCCAAGCCCCAUAACCAAGGUUCUACCACUAAACCAUCCCCUAACCCAUGAACCUACACCUAGAAAAUCACUUGAAAUAUAGGAGAAAUCACAUGAAAAGUAGGGAAUCACAAGAAAUUGAGGAAAGGCCAUCUUAGUCCUAUCCCAUAGCUCAACCCCCUUCAGAAC
rnacentral:lncRNA from 1 species